rnacentral:tRNA from 1 species
UGGGACGUAGCCAAGGGGUAAGGCAACGGGCUUUGGACCCGUCAUCGUUGGUUCGAAUCCAGCCGUCCCAGCCA